CAGUGGUGACCCUCCCGUGUGUAAAGACAAGUAACCGGGUGGCUCGUCAUGUGAUAACAAUACAGUGUUCAAAUGUGGACAUCGUCUGAUGAUAGCAGCAUUUGUAUCACCUUGUGUUCUGACUGUGACAGGACAAGUACACAGUGUAGUGUGUUAGAUUUACAGGAAUUGACUGUAUUAGAAGGAAAAAACCUGCAAUUUGACACUCAUAAUGAGAAAAUGCGAGUACAUGUAUAGGUCACUGCCUGAUAUCAUAACUUGUGCUUACCAGUAUAUUAUGAAAAAUGGUUGAUAUAUGUAAUAUGAAGCCAUGCAGCAGACGAUUGCUCAUCUCAUGUGACUUGAACCAGAAUGAACUGGUUCAAACCCGAAUCUCUGAAGCUUGCUUUGGUGAUUUGACCCAAUGUGCCAAUGAUUGACAUGUUAAUUUUUUUAUGUUGUUUUUCUGCAUGUUGUGUUGAGAAUCUGUGUAUAUUUUUUUUCUUUAAACGACAGUUCACUUGCCACCAAAUAUUAACAAAAACACUUGAAUCAUUUGUCAUGUUCAUUAUAAGGGACCAAUGGCAUUGAUCAAUUUUAAAACAUCAUUGGUUAUUUUUUUUUUUCAUGUGCAUUAACAUUAUACAGAUUUGAAGAAUGUAUAUUUUUGUUGAAUUAAUGUAACACCCUCUCUUGUCAUAAUUACAGUGUUGUCUUCCUGUUCAUGUAUAAAUAUCAGACUUAUUUUUGUGUGCAAUACAUUGUAACCUGUAAUUUAUUAGCCAGAGCUUUCAACAGGUUCUGCUAAUGUGUCCAGUUCGAUGUCAUUUGAAAUGGCAGGCUCAAACAGUGGGAAGAAUUUUGUAACAGGGGGAAAAUUAUACUUUACAUGUAUUUAUUCAAUCAGAUAAUCAAAAAUAUUGGUCUCUUCAAGGAAUAAAAUGUGUAAAAUUG
rnacentral:misc_RNA from 1 species